rnacentral:rRNA from 1 species
GACGAACGCUGGCGGCGUGCUUAACACAUGCAAGUCGAACGGAAAGGCCCUGCUUUUGGGGGGCGCUCGAGUGGCGAACGGGUGAGUAACACGUGAGUAACCUGCCCCUGACUUAGGGAUAUCUUCAGGUAACUGGGGCUCAUACCGGAUAGGAGUUCCUGCUGCAUGGUGGGGGUUGGCAAGUUUGGGUGGUUGGGGAUGGACUUGCGGCCUAUCAGCUUGUUGGUGGGGUAGUGGCUUACCAAGGCUUUGACGGGUAGCCGGCCUGAGAGGGGGACCGGCCAAAUUGGAACGGGACUCGGGCCCGGCCUCCUCCGGGAGGCAGCGGGGGGGAUAAUUGACAAAUGGGCGGAGCCCGAAGCAGGAAAGGCCGGUGGCGGGAUAAGGGCUUUGGGUUGGUAAACGGCUUUAGCCGGUGAGGAGGUGUGAGUGACGGUAAUGGGAGAAGAAGCACCGGCUAACUACGUG